GCAAACUUGGUCAUUUAGAGGAAGUAAAAGUCGUAACAAGGUAACCGUAGGUGAACCUGCGGUUGGAUCAUUACAGAAUGAUUUCGGCCUCGGCCGUGUGCUUUUGAUGUGCAAUUAAAUUUGCCUCACUAGCAUAUCUACCCAACCUUUUGUGAACUGUUGUGUCUCUGGCAGUGGGGCUGCAUUGUCUUCUUGUUCAGAGAAAGGCAAAUGCAGUCUGUCAGCUCAGUCAGACGGUUCAGUGUCUUUUAUGAUACUGCUCUGUCGGUCUGCGCCGUGGACAAGCUGCCAACCACUUGAAACUUUUUAUUCUAUAAUUUUAUUGUCUUACACUUUAAGUAUUUAAUUAUACAAACAACUUUUGGCAACGGAUCUCUUGGCUCUCGCAUCGAUGAAGAACGCAGC
rnacentral:misc_RNA from 1 species